rnacentral:rRNA from 1 species
UCUGAAUAUGGGGGGACCAUCCUCCAAGGCUAAAUACUCCUGACUGACCGAUAGUGAACCAGUACCGUGAGGGAAAGGCGAAAAGAACCCCGGCGAGGGGAGUGAAAAAGAACCUGAAACCGUGUACGUACAAGCAGUGGGAGCACGCUUAGGCGUGUGACUGCGUACCUUUUGUAUAAUGGGUCAGCGACUUAUAUUCUGUAGCAAGGUUAACCGAAUAGGGGAGCCGAAGGGAAACCGAGUCUUAACUGGGCGUUAAGUUGCAGGGUAUAGACCCGAAACCCGGUGAUCUAGCCAUGG